UACGUAGGUGGCAAGCGUUAUCCGGAUUUAUUGGGCGUAAAGGGAACGCAGGCGGUCUUUUAAGUCUGAUGUGAAAGCCUUCGGCUUAACCGGAGUAGUGCAUUGGAAACUGGGAGACUUGAGUGCAGAAGAGGAGAGUGGAACUCCAUGUGUAGCGGUGAAAUGCGUAGAUAUAUGGAAGAACACCAGUGGCGAAGGCGGCCGCCUGGCCUGUUGCUGACGCUGAGGCACGAAAGCGUGGGGAGCAAAUAGG
rnacentral:rRNA from 1 species